rnacentral:rRNA from 1 species
UCAGAGGUGAAAUUCUUGGAUUUAUGAAAGACGAACUACUGCGAAGGCAUUUACCAAGGAUGUUUUCAUUGAUCAAGAACGAAAGUAUGGGGAUCGAAGAUGAUUAGAUACCAUCGUAGUCUAUACUUCAAACUAUGCCGACUUGCGAUUGUCUGGUGGUGUUUUUUGGCCCCAGGCAGCAGCACAUGAGAAAUCAAAGUCUUUGGGUUCCGGGGGGAGUAUGGUCGCAAGGCUGAAACUUAAAGGAAUUGACGGAAGGGCACCACCAGGUGUGGAGCCUGCGGCUUAAUUUGACCCAACACGGGGAAACUCACCAGGUCCAGACACAAUAAGGAUUGACAGAUUGAUAGCUCUUUCUUGAUCUUGUGGUUGGUGGUGCAUGGCCGUUCUUAGUUGGUGGAGCGAUUUGUCUGGUUAAUUCCGAUAACGAACGAGACCUUAACCUGCUAAAUAGUCCGGCCGGCUUUUGCUGGUCGCUGACUUCUUAGAGGGACUAACAGCGUUUAGCUGUUGGAAGUUUGAGGCAAUAACAGGUCUGUGAUGCCCUUAGAUGUCCUGGGCCGCACGCGUGCUACACUGACGCAUACAGCGAGUA